UCUCCCUUUGCCCUCUACUUCGCAGCCACCACAAGGACUUACUUUUGAAAAAACACUAGUUUCCCAGAAUGAAUCAGUAGAAAAUGUUAAAGUUCCUGUUCGCAACUAUGAAAGAAUUGUGGGAAAACCUAAUAGAAAUAGAGAUUCUACAUUAACUGAACGUGAGAAGAUCCUGCUGAGUCAUUUGACUCAAACUAAAUUAAGCUUAAAGCGUUUGGCAGUCGAAAUGCGAACUGUGAGGAAGACACUAAUAAAUAGUUUGUAGCUUAUAACAAUAUUAGCGGGGUCCGCACUGACAUGCCUAAUAGAAAUAAUAAUGAUGACAUUCAAGUUGUUGAUGAGAUAGUUUAUCCUGUUUUGUCUUUGCCCAAUGAAAUCGAUUUCUUUUUAUAUGAAAAUGAUUUAUGUAACUUUUUGGAGCAGCCAGUAGUAUAUGUUAGUGGUUAUUUAGCUGCAAAAUUAUUAGAUAGAACGAAAUGUCAGAAAUGUAAAGAUUCGUUAAAAGUUGAUAAACCAGUAGACGACUUAAACAAUUAUAUUAGUUUUAAAGAAUGGUGGAAAGAUUCGAGCUCAUUGUGCUUUCCUUCUAAACCUUUAUGUCAUUUUGUAAACAAGAGCCAAAUUCAUUUCAAAGCUAUUAUAUCUCAGGACUUACAAAUUAAAAAUAUAAAGCAGUAGACUAGUUUGCAAUUAAGUAAUGAGCAUUUUAUAGAAAAAAACAAAUCAAUUAAUUCAUAAUCUUUGUUUAUUAUUCAUUAGAAAAUCAUGUAAAGACAAAAAUAUACAAUUAGAAUAAUGUGAUCAAGACAAAGCUUAGAUAACAACUUUUAAGAUUCUUGUUGAAUAUUUAUAUUUAUAUUGUCAGUACUAUAAAACAAUGUUUGUAGAAAACAUACAUAUUGGCAGUUCUUCUUGACAUCUAAUGUCUUUGCAAUGUUUUUUGUUUUCCAAGUU